rnacentral:rRNA from 1 species
GCAUCGAUGAAGAACGCAGCGAACUGCGAUACGUAAUGCGAAUUGCAGGAUUCAGUGAGUCAUCGAAAUUUUGAACGCAUAUUGCACUUCCGGGUUAGUCCUGGAAGUAUGCCUGUAUCAGUGUCCGUACAACAAACUUGGCUUUCUUCCUUCCGUGUAGUCGGUGGAGGAGAUGCCAGAUGUGAAGUGUCUUGCGGUUGGUUUUCGGACCGACUGCGAGUCCUUUUAAAUGUACUAAACUGUACUUCUCUUUGCUCCAAAAGUGGUGGCAUUGCUGGUUGUGGACGCUGCUAUUGUAGCGAGUUGGCGACCGGUUUGUCUGCUGCGGCGUUAAUGGAGAAAUGCUCGAUUCGUGGUAUGGUUGGCUUCGGCUGAACAAUGCGCUUAUUGGGUGAUUUUCCUGCUGUGGUGUGAUGGACUGGUGAACCAUGGCUCUUUAGCUUGGCAUUUGAAUCGGCUUUGCUGUUGCGAAGUAGAGUGGCGGCUUCGGCUGCCGAGGGUCGAUCCAUUUGGGAAAUGUUGUGUACUUCGGUAUGCAUCUCAAUUGGACCUGAUAUCAGGCAAGAUUACCCGCUGAACUUAAGCAUAUCAAUAAGCGGAGGA